UGGCGCCCAACGUGGGGCUCCUGGCACGGGGGAGUCAACGAGGGAGCCAACGAGGGAGCCGUUCAAAAAAGCCAGUUAAAAGUGAAAGCAAAUUGAACCAAAGACUGUGGUGAAAGGAAAAACAAACUAAAUCAAAGACUAAGGCUAAAAGCAAAAGGACAUUAAAUCAAGGCCUGUGCAGAUGACUACCCAACGUCCUGCCCGAGUCACGGUGAAUGAACAGCGAGCCCAUUCCCUUUCCCGGACAUGGGUCAAGCAUUGAGCAAACACGAAGUGUUCGUGGGAUGCCUUAUAAAGGCAUGAAAGGCAAGAGGAGUAAGGGUUAGAAUAAAAGAAUUAUUGCAGUAUUUUCAAUUUAUCCAUAAGGUUUGCCCUA
rfam:Cavia porcellus supercont2_114 genomic scaffold, whole genome shotgun sequence.